rnacentral:rRNA from 1 species
CGGGUGGUAAUGCCGGAUGCUCCGACUCCUCGCAUGGGGUGUCGGGAAAGAUUUCAUCGGUAUGGGAUGGGGUCGCGUCCUAUCAGGUAGUCGGCGGGGUAACGGCCCACCGAGCCUACGACGGGUAGCCGGCCUGAGAGGGCGACCGGCCACAUUGGGACUGAGAUACGGCCCAGACUCCUACGGGAGGCAGCAGUGGGGAAUAUUGCACAAUGGGCGCAAGCCUGAUGCAGCGACGCCGCGUGCGGGAUGACGGCCUUCGGGUUGUAAACCGCUUUUGAUCGGGAGCAAGCCUUCGGGUGAGUGUACCUUUCGAAUAAGCACCGGCUAACUACGUGCCAGCAGCCGCGGUAAUACGUAGGGUGCAAGCGUUAUCCGGAAUUAUUGGGCGUAAAGGGCUCGUAGGCGGUUCGUCGCGUCCGGUGUGAAAGUCCAUCGCUUAACGGUGGAUCUGCGCCGGGUACGGGCGGGCUGGAGUGCGGUAGGGGAGACUGGAAUUCCCGGUGUAACGGUGGAAUGUGUAGAUAUCGGAAAAAAAACACCA